UCGUAGGGGAGCGGCCGCGGCGCGCGCACGUCUCUUGAAGACACCCUCGAUGAAUUCUACCCCGUUCACUCGCACUCCAUCGUUCAAACCGCGGUUCGGGACGGAGGGCGGCCGGAUAUCCAACGGAAAUAAGCAGCCUACCCGGGUCGCCGUUCGGCCGCGCCCGAUCGCCCUCGCGAUGGCAUCGGACCAUGGCGGGGGAGGCGCCGCCGCCGCCGAUGGCGGUAUCAACAACGCCGCGGGUCUCGGGCUUAGGGCGUCGCUGGAGGAGACCACUGCCGACGUCGCCUGCAAGGAUUCCCAGUCUCUGCCUCGGCCUCUAUCCAUAUCUGAUGUCUCUGGUUCGGUUAAUGGAUCGAGAUUUCGCGUUGCGUACCAGGGGCUCCCGGGUGCAUACAGUGAAGCUGCGGCAGCCAAGGCGUAUCCAAACUGUGAAGCGGUUCCAUGCGAGCAGUUUGAUACUGCCUUUGAUGCUGUUGAACGUUGGCUUGUUGAUCGGGCAGUUCUACCUAUUGAAAAUUCACUAGGUGGUAGCAUCCAUCGCAAUUAUGACCUUUUACUUCGCCAUAAUUUGCACAUUGUCGGGGAAGUAAAAUAUGCAGUUCGGCAUUGUUUACUAGCUAAUCAUGGAGUGAAAAAGGAAGAUCUGAAAAGAGUUCUCAGCCACCCUCAGGCCCUUGCACAGUGCGAGACUACACUUGCAAAAUUAGGGGUUGUCAGAGAAUCUGUAGAUGACACAGCGGGAGCUGCAAAUUUUAUUGCUACCCACAAACUCCAAGAUGCAGGGGCUGUUGCCAGUUCAUUAGCCGCUGAAAUAUAUGGACUGGAUAUCCUUGCCCGAGAUAUUCAGGAUGACUCCGACAAUAUUACUAGAUUCCUGAUGCUGGCACGGGAACCCAUUAUUCCAGUAAUUGAUAGACCUUUUAAGACAAGCAUAGUUUUUUCUCUCGAAGAAGGCCCGGGUGUGCUUUUCAAGGCACUUGCUGUUUUUGCUUUGAGGGAUAUCAACCUUACAAAGAUUGAAAGUCGUCCCAGGAAGAAUAAGCCAUUACGCAUAACUGACGAUGGCAGCAAUGGACCUUUAAAGUAUUUCGACUAUCUCUUCUACGUAGAUUUUGAAGCAUCAAUGGCUUCACACAAUGCCCAAAAUGCCCUUAGGCACCUGAAGGAAUUUGCGACAUUCUUGAAAGUCUUGGGGAGUUAUCCUAGGGACAUGAGUGAGGCAUGACUUACCGUGUUCGGACGAUGGGCACUAUGAGUUUUGCUGUUGCGCAUUGUGAAGGUAUCUUCAAUCCUCCCAGCAGAAGAGAAUGAGGAUAGUCGAUAACAACUUUGUAUGCAGAAGAAAUCAAAAGGCGAAGAAGGUACAAAGAGAUCCUGAUCGAGAUGCUCCGGUCUGCAGGCCCAGCGUGUCAGAAGUGAAACGCCAAAGAGAAGAUACAAUGUAUCAGGGAGCCCUGUUCGCCACCGAAAUGGCACGAGAUCCUGAGCGGCGGCCGUGGCGUCGAGGUACUCGCCCAGGUGGUCUGCACUGCAGAGCAGCAACAAGAACACUACAGCCUGACGGUGCUGACACGCGGCCACGCAUGCCUCUUCGAUUUCUCUUAAUCCCUUUGGAAUACGUGAAGUUGGACAAAUCACUAUUCCCAUUUUACUGGCGCUCGACACUCCAAAAAUUCUACGCAUGCCAUCCCGAACAUGAAACGCUCAAACAUGCCAUGAAUCUUUUGUACGUAAUCAAUUUCAAUUAUCUAACAAUAUGAUCUUUUCGUGCAUGCAGGGGAUUGCAUACGUCUAUGGAAAAAGGUUGUUGUAUAGCUUAGGCAAAAACAAUCAAGUCUAUCAGUGAUUUUGCUAAAAAAAUAAUAAUUCAUCUUUAUGAUUUGAAUCGUGAUAUUUAGAUUAUAAAAUAUAAUUUAAUCCUUGGCCCAUCAUAAUUUUCAAUUGCAUCAAUAUAUGUUGAAAAUUAAACUAAAAAGAUAUUAUGAAGUCCAUUAAUUAAGUAAGAUUAAGAAAAACAAAUAAAAGUAAAUAAAGAAAUAGGCAGCCCAUUAAUUAAUUCGUUGGAUGUGUCCAACGCAUAUGUGAAUGAAUCCAAUCUUCCAUCAGUUUUAAAUCCAAUAAACAGGAGGAGAGGAGGAGAUAGAAGGAGAAAUUAGACCUCCUCCUGUGACAGUUGCGGGCUUCCAUGAGCGAGCUGUAGCUGCCGCUCUGAUUUGGCUCCGAGACAACAUGGUGACGCCUUCCGAGGCUUCCAGGCACGGAGGCAGCGGCUUAGAGGAGAUCUGGAAGAGGGAGCUGGGCCCGUCUCUGCCUCGAUUCUUCGCUCGCCGAGUCGGUGGUUCUGAGGAAAGGAACUGGUUGUGGCCCUUGCUCUAAAGACCUGAUUCUGGUGGUGGAAACUCGGAAGUACUGUCCAUCCUCUAGAGUAUUACUGUCCCUCUGUUAUGUUUGGGUACAAGGGUUGUCAAAGUAAGCAAGAGAAGUUAGGAAUGGGAUUAUGUAGUGCCGCUGUUGCAAUUGGACAUGAGGGCGAUGGUUUCGAAAAGCAAUUUAGUCCUACGAUUGAGUCUUUGGCCUUUAAACAGUAUAAUACUGUUUUACUUGAGCCUUGAAACUGAUGUUGCACGAACUGUAAAUCAUGCUUCUUCGCUACA